UGCACUACAGAAGUUGUUCGGCGGUGGAUGAGGUCUGGACGAGAUGGGUGAAACAUGCUUGGAUGAGAAGGAAUUUGAUGACUGAUUUAUCGAGUCUUUGAAAAUGGUCUUUGUGCAGAGCGAGAUUUCCAAGUGGUCCAUGGAUGUUUCUCAGGUGGCGCCGUUCAUUGCCUUAAACACAUUCCAGGAACAAGCUCCAAGCUCCUGGUGUGGGACUUAGGAGGAGGUGAUUGUGAAACAGACAGUCCAGAUGCACUGAGCUCCCUGCAGUUUGUGAGUGGCACUGUAUUUCUCGCUUGUGCCUGCAAUGGUGACCUGUAUGUGGGGGACACACGGAAGCCUUCAGCUCUUCAGCAAACCCCAGCUGGAGGGAGAGAGGGAGCCCAAUGGUGUAUGGGUGUUAAGACAGACCUGUUCUCAUCAGACCCAUCCUCCUGUAGUGUAGCACGGCUCUCCUCCUCCUGCCAAGUGUUUGUGUCUGAUCUUAGGGACCUAAGACCCCCCGUGAGUAAAGCCCAGCUUGAUGUCCAGAGGAAAACUACCGAUAAUGACUUCCUGAAGGUGACAUGGGCGCCAGCUUUAGACAACUGCCUGUUGCUGUUUCAGGAAAGCACCAUGACACUCUUUCAUUUUUGUUGGAUUAAUGACAUUAAUGAAUGUCUUAUGGACAGACCAAAGCUGUUCUUGCUUUUUUAGAACGGCUGUCAUAAUAAAGCAACUUUUCCUCAAUUACCAAUUUAAUUUAUCUCCUCUUCUAGGUUUUGAUGGAAUGGUGCAAAUCUACAACACUGCCUCUUGGAGACCGGAGUUGGUGGAAUUCCAGCCUAUUUUUGUCCACCGUGGUCACAUGAUGUCUGAGGAUCAGUUUGACACUUCAUCAGCUGUGGUCACCACUCAUGUUUGGCAUCCAAGUCGACCUAAGACUGUCCUCUCUGCUGCUGUAGACGGGUCUGUGCAUGUAUGGGACUGGGUCGACAAAGCCACUGCCAGCUGUUGACAUUCAAACAAACUUACAGUUCAAUGUUAAUCAUUACGCAGCUUUGGACCUUGCCUGAAGUCUAAAUAUUUUUUUCAUUAUGUAAAUAUGUAAGGAAAAAACAUCCUCUGUAAAGCGCAAUUUAUUGUGAUGGGAUAAGAUUAUGUAAAAAUACACUGUUAUGAGUAGUUGUUCCAUGCUAUGAGUAGUUAUUCAAUGCUAUGAGUAGUUAUUCAAUGCUAUGAGUAGUUAUUACAUACUAUGAGUAGUUAUUCCAUGCUAUGAGUAGUUGUUCCAUGCUAUGAGUAGUUAUUCCAUGCUAUGAGUAGUUGUUCCAUGCUAUGAGUAGUUAUUCCAUGCUAUGAGUAGUUGUUCCAUGCUAUGAGUAGUUAUUCCAUGCUAUGAGUAGUUAUUCAAUGCUAUGAGUAGUUAUUCCAUGCUAUGAGUAGUUAUUCCAUGCUAUGAGUAGUUAUUCCAUGCUAUGAGUAGUUAUUCCAUGCUAUGAGUAGUUAUUCCAUGCUAUGAGUAGUUAUUCAAUGCUAUGAGUAGUUAUUCCAUGCUAUGAGUAGUUAUUCAAUGCUAUGAGUAGUUAUUCCAUGCUCUGAGUAGUUGUUCCAUGCUAUGAAUUGUUGUUCCAUGCUAUGAGUAGUUGUUCCAUGCUAUGAGUAGUUAUUCCAUGCUAUGAGUAGUUAUUCCAUGCUAUGAGUAGUUGUUCCAUGCUAUGAGUAGUUAUUCCAUGCUAUGAGUAGUUAUUACAUACUAUGAGUAGAUAUUCUUAUACUGUACACAACGUUGCAUAAUGGAAGAGGUAUUCUGAGUUUAUAUUAUUAUACAAUGCAUUCGAAAAGUAUUCAGACCCCUUGACUUUUUACACAUGUUGUUACUUUACAGCCUUAUUCUAAAAUGUAUUAAAUAUUUUUUCCCCUCA